UACGUAGGGGGCAAGCGUUGUCCGGAUUUACUGGGCGUAAAGGGCGCGUAGGCGGCCACCGCAAGUCGGUUGUGAAAUCUCUGGGCUUAACCCAGAAAGGUCAACCGAUACUGCGGGGCUAGAGUGCAGAAGGGGCAACUGGAAUUCUCGGUGUAGCGGUGAAAUGCGCAGAUAUCAGGAGGAACACCGAUGGCGAAGGCAGCUCGCUGGGACGGUACUGACGCUGAGACGCGAAAGCGUGGGGAGCGAACAGG
rnacentral:rRNA from 1 species